rnacentral:ncRNA from 1 species
UACCUGGUUGAUCCUGCCAGUAGUCAUAUGCUUGUCUCAAAGAUUAAGCCAUGCAAGUCUAAGUACGAGCUCUCGUACAGUGAAACUGCGAAUGGCUCAUUAAAUCAGUUAUGGUUCAUUUGAUCGUACAGUUUACUUGGAUAACUGUGGUAAUUCUAGAGCUAAUACAUGCGAGAAGCGCCGACCUCGCGGGAGGCGUGCAUUUAUCAGACCAAAAACCGGCCGCGUCUUCGGGCGCGUUCGCCUUGGUGACUCUGGAUAACUUUGCGGAUCGCACGGUCUAGCACCGGCGACGGAUCAUUCAAGUGUCUGCCCUAUCAACUUUCGUCGGUACGGUAUUUGCCUACCGAGGUUCUUACGGGUGACGGGGAAUCAGGGUUCGAUUCCGGAGAGGGAGCCUGAGAAACGGCUACCACAUCCAAGGAAGGCAGCAGGCGCGCAAAUUACCCAUUCCCGACGCGGGGAGGUAGUGACGAAAAAUACCAAUGCAGGACUCGUUCGAGGCCCUGUAAUUGGAAUGAGUACACUUUAAAAGCUUUAACGAGUAUCCAUUGGAGGGCAAGUC